GCGGGGUCAAACGCGCGGAGCGCAGGGUGGUGCGUGCGCAGCGCGCCCUGCGGCGCCUUCGCUCAAAACUCACGACUUCUGGCUCGCCUUCUCUGGUUUGUCCGGCCUCUUGAUGAUGAAUGUGAACAUGUUGAAGAAGCUCAUAUAGCAAAGGACUGCAGGUGGCCUCUAGGAACAUCAGGAUGCCCCCAGCCCACAGCUGGCAAGAAGAUGGAGACUUCAGUUGUACAGCCCAAGGAAAUUAACCGCCCUGUCAACCUGAAUAAGCUUGGAAGCAGGAUCUUCCCCGGUUCCACCCCCAAAAGCAGACACAAGCAGAGGAGUGGGGAAGAAUCUGAGGCAGGCUCCACACUGUCAGCACAGAGCCUGAUGCAGGGUUCGAUCUCACAACUGUGAGAUCAUGACCUGAGCUGAAAUCAAGAGUCAGACGCUUAACCGACUGAACCACCCAGGAGCUAUAAUGUGCUUCUUCAAGUCUGCCUCGGUGGUUUCUAAUUCUGGAGACGUGCACAGUAGAAUGGCCUCCCACAAUCCUUUCAGAAAGAACAGGAAAACCCUUCUGUAUUCUUCUGUAAAGAAGACACCAGCCUAUCUCCUCAUAAUUCUGAGGUAAAAUGGUCAUCUAUAAUUCACUCAUUAUUCCACUAAGUAUUUGCUCAGUGCAUACCAUAUGCCAGAUAUUUAUUGCUACAUAUUCCAUGCUAACCAAUGUCAAGGACCUACUGUCUAGGAGGAAGAAUGACAACAAUCAAAUCUUCACACAAAUAAAUAUAGCCUUACAAACA